GGAAACCCUAGCUAACCAAUUCCUUCUCCAUUCCCUAAAAAAAAAACCAAUUCCUUCUCCAAAUCCGGCGGCUGCCGCGAGCUCGCCUGCGCCCCGCUGACGCCUCCCCCGGCCCGCAGCUCCGCCUCGCGGUCUCCCGUGCCGCCGACGCUGACGCAUCCCGCCGGAGCUCCCUCCCACACUCUCCCGUGGAGCCGCUGCCGGAGUCCCCCGGCGACGGUGACCCAAGCCGGAUUUCUGUCCUCACGGUGAGCGUGCGACGCGCGGGCGAGCGGCCUGCGCCCGGGCCAGCGGUAGGCGGCCGACGCGCGGCCAGCGGGUCGUGCGGGGAGGGGGUCGUGUGAGGAGCGGCCGACGCACGAGCGGGCGGCCGGCGGCCGGCGUGCGCGCAGGCAGGAAGACGGCAGGCGCGGGUGCGCGGUUAUGCGCAGGAUCUGCAGACGGCGAGCGGCAUAAUCCCCGUCAACCACAAUGACCGGCACAAUGGAGGCAACAACAGAGCAUCCCCCAACAUGGGGGUACUAGAGAUAAGUGCUAUAUACUUGUUGGGUGUUAAUUGUUUUAUAUUUAAUAUUCAGGAAGCAAUAAAUCUUCCUAUAUUGCUAUAUAAAUAUAUAGCUUCACAUUGGAUUAUUUAGCAACAACAAUAAUGCAUUCAUGAUCUGAACUAUAUGGAUUAUUUAGCUUCACAUUGGAUUAUUUAGCAAUAGGAAAUAUCAAUAAUUAAAUGUUAAUCAACCGCAUUUCUCAAGUAAUUAAGGAUAUAUCAACUAAUAAAGCAAACUUACAACAUUUCGGACACACCAAACUAUCCUUAUUUAUUGAUGUGCUUACUUGCUAGGCAAAUCUAUGUUCUUUACUACCCUGUUCUGAUUCUGUUCUCACCAUGCAGUAUUAAACAAGAGCUCUUUGCAAAGUUCAGAGAAACAUCAAGUGACUGAAUACCACAAGUGCUCAACCUCAAGCUGUGCAAGUGGUUGUAACUUAAUUAGCAUGGAGGCAUUUGAAUAAUAUUAUUGGCAGCAACUCGUCUUGUGUGUGUGUCGGUAUUGUUAUCUUUCUCUAGCUGUUCAAAUCUAGUCAUUACAAAAGUGAAGUCAUUGUGCUGGUGAAACUUAUUUUAGUUCCAGCUUUGGGCAUGUUAGGAUUUGUAGUAGUCAUGCAGAAACUAAACUUGUAGUGGUAUGAAUUCCACACUCACUAGCCAAUUUCCUGAACCAUCAGAUUCCAUUACACUCAUCAGAAGGUCGUAACUAGAAGACUAAGGCACUGUGGAUACUUUUUGAGGACUUGAAGUCUAAUUGUACAAUGAAUUAGCUCAUCAUGCUUAUGCCUUCUGUCACUUUCAGCAUGCAUCCUGUUUGGUUCAAUUUAUCUGCCCAGCAUGACUAUAUCUACAAACCUGAUUUAUACCUAUCUGUCCUUAGCAUGUGCAUGCGUCUUCCAUUCAACAAUAAGCAUGUAUACAUGCAGUAAUAGCAGUGUUUUUACCUUGAACUGAGCAGCAGCAGCAGCAAGAGCAAACCUGUUUUUUCUUUUACCAGUUCUGCCUAUCUCAUCUCUCUUAAAAGAUGUUGUCCAGGCAGAUUUAAUGCAUGCUUGACCUUGCAGAUGCUCCAGGACAGGAGGCAAUUGGCAAUGCCCAAGUAGGACUGGCUAGCUGCAGCACAAGUGUCACACAUGGCCAUACAUGGAUGCAAGAUCAUUUUGACACCAAGAAAAUCAAAGUGCUCAUGGAUACUAUUGUCUUGACUAUUCCUAGCAUAUAGACAAAUCAUUUUGUAAGCCAAACAUGUGAUCUGUGCACUAGUGUUUUGAACAUAGUGGUUUUAAUACCACAAGAGAACCUUACAACUUCUAGGAGUGCUAGGUAUAGAAGUUAUACUGAUCAAAGUGCUGAGCAGCUGAUAGAUGCCAAUAUGAGCUCUCAGCUAGGAUAAGUGUAAUACAUUGUGGUUUGUUUGAUGUAACAUUUUUUGGCUUGCACUAAUAUAGAUGAAUCAAUAUCUUGAUGAAUGGUUUAUAUGGUUAA